AAGAGAUUCUGGAGAUCCUUUCUCGUUGAAGCUUUCUUAUGUGAACCUAGAAUUUUCAGAAAUGGGGGCAAGACUGUGUGUGUGAGUAAGGGAUUGAUUUGCUUAUUUCUAGAGGGGAGGACUGCUUUCCGUUCUCACUGAUGGAGUAUUCAUUUACCUCCAGGUUGCCUUUUUUUGUGUGUGUGCGUGUCUGACUUGACUUGCUGACUAAACACGUUAGGACUUUUGAGGCAAAGAGUUUUCUCUGCAGGGCCAUAGAAGGAACAGUGUUCUCCCCCCCAGCCCAUCUGCCUGGUGAAGGAGUCUGCACAGCAGUGGGGAAGCUGCUUUGCCAUCUCACCUCCAGCUGACAGAGCUGGAGUUUAUCAGCAUGUUGACAACCCUGGACUGUUGAGACUGCUCCAAAUUACACUGGAAACAUUGGUAAUGAGAAUUUAGCCUUUGGAGUAGUGUGUAUGUGUGUGCCUUUUUAGAUGCAGGUUUUUACAGUUACGGUGCUCACUUGCAUCUAACACUCUUUGGAUAAAUAAAAAAAUCCCAUCCUGAACAUGUGUGUGUCUCCUGGCAGCCCAUACUCUCCAGUGUACCUCACUUCAAGGGAUGCCAGCUGUUUGAUUCCAAAAUCUGUGUUCUGCAUAAAUUGAUGCCUCUCUCUAUCUCCCUCCAAACACAAUCAUAGAAUGGCCUGGCUUGAAAAGGACUUCAGAGAUCAUCUAAUUUCAAUCCCCCUGCCUGCAGGGUUGCCAACCACUACACCAGGCUGCCUAGAGCCGCAUCGAGAAUCACAAUGUUGAGUUUAUUUGAAAGAGCCAUUUGUUCAGAAGAAAGAAGUGAUGUUAUUUUAUGCUUCCUAUGGGAAUUACUCAGCUUUGAUUUCUUCCUCUGACUUUUCAUACAUCCCUCCCCUCCUGUGGGACUGUGGCAGUCACCAGGUGACUUCUGCCUGGGCAGUUCCAGGCCAGACAUGGCUCUCUGGAGAAGCAAGUGAGCAUCUGUGCAGUUUCUUUGGACUGCUGUAUCUUUUCUCUCUAACACAGCAGAUUUAGCACCGAGCCCCUGCUGCACCCUGUUAUGACUCGCAGUCCAGAGGGUCUCUGCGGCCGUCCGUGCAAACGCACCGGCAGAAGUCUGAUAGUGGCGCGAACAGGCGGAGCAGAGAAAAGCGGUGCCGGGCCCAAAUGGGCGGUGAUAAAGCCACCCGUUGAGAAAACAUAGUGAGGCAACGGAGAAAACCUUUAAACUUAGAAUUGCAGCCCUGAGCCGCCCCUUUCCGAGGCGUAGCGAGGACCACCGGACCACCGCCCGCCUAAGGGGCCUCAAGAGCAGGAG